UUUUUUGUAUUAGGUUGACAUUAAUGUUUGGUCAGCCUUCAUCUCCAUCUUCUUCAAGUGAAUAGUAAAUUCAUUUAUUAACAGAGGAGGAACAAGGCUUAUGCAGCAUCUUAAUGGAGAUACGGUCCACGAGUUGCAAGAAUCAAGAAUUUGAAGUCUAAAGAACCUAUCCUCGAAGAAAGUGCAGAUCAAGUUAGAGUACAAUUUUCUUUAGGAGUGGUUUAAAAAUGUUGUCUUAGUGUUCAUAUGCUGCAACUUUAUUUAUUCUUUUUAGGAGUUGACAAAAAUUAUGCCAUACAACUGGGAUGGGUAUGUUUUCUGGUAACGUGGAGCUUUAGUUUUGUGUUGACGAUGAAA